rnacentral:rRNA from 1 species
UACGUAGGGUGCAAGCGUUGUCCGGAAUUAUUGGGCGUAAAGAGCUUGUAGGCGGUUUGUCGCGUCUGCUGUGAAAUUUCGGGGCUCAACCCCGAACUUGCAGUGGGUACGGGCAGACUAGAGUGUGGUAGGGGAGACUGGAAUUCCUGGUGUAGCGGUGAAAUGCGCAGAUAUCAGGAGGAACACCGAUGGCGAAGGCAGGUCUCUGGGCCAUAACUGACGCUGAGAAGCGAAAAGCGUGGGGAGCGAACAGG